rnacentral:rRNA from 1 species
AGCCAUGCGAGUCGAGAGGUGCAAGACCUCGGCAUACUGCUCAGUAACACGUGGACAAUCUAACCUACGGAGGGGGAUAACCCCGGGAAACUGGGGAUAAUACCCCAUAGACUAUGAAUGCUGGAAUGCUUUGUAGUUCAAAGGUCCGCCGCCGUAGGAUGGGUCUGCGGCCGAUUAGGUUGUUGCUGGGGUAACGGCCCAACAAGCCUGUAAUCGGUACGGGUUGUGGGAGCAAGAGCCCGGAGAUGGAUUCUGAGACACGAAUCCAGGCCCUACGGGGCGCAGCAGGCGCGAAAACUUUACAAUGCGGGAAACCGUGAUAGGGGAACUCCGAGUGCCCGUAAAAUCGGGCUGUCCAUUUGUUUAAAUAACAAGUGAAGAAAGGGCCGGGCAAGACCGGUGCCAGCCGCCGCGGUAAUACCGGCGGCUCGAGUGGUGGCCACUAUUACUGGGCUUAAAGCGUUCGUAGCUGGUUUGUUAAGUCUCUGGGGAAAUCUUCCGGCUUAACCGGAAGGCGUCUCAGGGAUACUGGCAGACUAGGGACCGGGAGAGGUGAGGGGUACUCCAGGGGUAGGAGUGAAAUCCUGUAAUCCUUGGGGGACCACCUGUGGCGAAGGCGCCUCACCAGAACGGCUCCGACAGUGAGGGACGAAAGCUGGGGGAGCAAACCGGAUUAGAUACCCGGGUAGUCCCAGCCGUAAACGAUGUGCGUUAGGUGUAUCGGUGACCACGAGUCACCGAGGUGCCGAAGAGAAAUCGUGAAACGUACCGCCUGGGAAGUACGGUCGCAAGGCUGAAACUUAAAGGAAUUGGCGGGGGAGCAC